rnacentral:rRNA from 1 species
UACGGAGGAUGCGAGCGUUAUCCGGAUUUAUUGGGUUUAAAGGGUGCGUAGGCGGAUCGUUAAGUCAGUGGUCAAAUUGAGGGGCUCAACCCCUUCCCGCCAUUGAAACUGGCGAUCUUGAGUGGAAGAGAAGUAUGCGGAGUGCGUGGUGUAGCGGUGAAAUGCAUAGAUAUCACGCAGAACCCCGAUUGCGAAGGCAGCAUGCCGGCUUCCUACUGACGCUGAAGCACGAAAGCGUGGGGAUCGAACAGG